rnacentral:rRNA from 1 species
GAUGAACGCUGGCGGCGUGCCUAAUACAUGCAAGUCGAGCGAACAGACGAGGAGCUUGCUCCUCUGACGUUAGCGGCGGACGGGUGAGUAGCACGUGGAUAACCUACCUAUAAGACUGGGAUAACUUCGGGAAACCGGAGCUAAUACCGGAUAAUAUAUCGAACCGCAUGGUUCAAUAGUGAAAGACGGUUUUGCUGUCACUUAUAGAUGGAUCCGCGCCGCAUUAGCUAGUUGGUAAGGUAACGGCUUACCAAGGCAACGAUGCGUAGCCGACCUGAGAGGGUGAUCGGCCACACUGGAACGGAGACACGGUCCAGACUCCUACGGGAGGCAGCAGUAGGGAAUCUUCCGCAAUGGGCGAAAGCCUGACGGAGCAACGCCGCGUGAGUGAUGAAGGUCUUCGGAUCGUAAAACUCUGUUAUUAGGGAAGAACAAAUGUGUAAGUAACUAUGCACGUCUUGACGGUACCUAAUCAGAAAGCCACGGCUAACUACGUG